UCUUAUGUACAUUCUCACAACAUAGCGUUAAUGCACUAGAUCCCAUUAGAACUCCAUAGUUAAUCAUGCUCAGGCUAGACUAGUACUGGGAUGGAUGACCAUCCAAGAAGUCCUAGUAUUUUACAAGCC
rfam:Picea glauca, whole genome shotgun sequence.